GCCUGUGUGAUUCAGUUGGUUAAGUGUCUGACUUUGGCUCAGAUCAUGAUCUCAGGGUCCUGGGAUCAAGCCCUGCAUAGGCU
rnacentral:tRNA from 1 species